rfam:Pseudogymnoascus sp. WSF 3629 unplaced genomic scaffold scaffold_153, whole genome shotgun sequence.
UCCCUCGUGGCGCAAUUGGCUAGCGCGUUCGACUGUUAUCCGAUUUCUGGUAUCGAGAGGUUGGUGGUUCGAGCCCACCCGAGGGAG